UACGUAGGGGGCAAGCGUUGUCCGGAAUCAUUGGGCGUAAAGCGCGUGUAGGCGGCCCGAUAAGUCCGCUGUGAAAGCCCAGGGCUCAACCCUGGGAUGCCGGUGGAUACUGUCGGGCUAGAAUCCGGAAGAGGCGAGUGGAAUUCCUGGUGUAGCGGUGAAAUGCGCAGAUAUCAGGAGGAACACCGAUGGCGAAGGCAGCUCGCUGGGACGGUAUUGACGCUGAGGCGCGAAAGCCAGGGGAGCAAACGGG
rnacentral:rRNA from 1 species